CCGUAUCUCUCGAUACCCGCAUAUCCCCUGUGAACCCACGGCGUAAGCCGCUAUAUUGCCUCGGCCAGCGGCCCCAGGGCGGGGCCCCCCAGCCUGGGUGGACCAGGCGCUGGCCGGCGGCGGGAACUUCUGGAUCGUGAUCGAGUGAGCUCUGAGUGAAUAUCUAAAUGGACACAUA
rnacentral:misc_RNA from 1 species